GGGGAAUAUUGGACAAUGGGCGCAAGCCUGAUCCAGCCAUGCCGCGUGUGUGAUGAAGGCCUUAGGGUUGUAAAGCACUUUCACCGGAGAAGAUAAUGACGGUAUCCGGAGAAGAAGCCCCGGCUAACUUCGUGCCAGCAGCCGCGGUAAUACGAAGGGGGCUAGCGUUGUUCGGAAUUACUGGGCGUAAAGCGCACGUAGGCGGAUAUUUAAGUCAGGGGUGAAAUCCCAGAGCUCAACUCUGGAACUGCCUUUGAUACUGGGUAUCUUGAGUAUGGAAGAGGUAAGUGGAAUUGCGAGUGUAGAGGUGAAAUUCGUAGAUAUUCGCAGGAACACCAGUGGCGAAGGCGGCUUACUGGUCCAUAACUGACGCUGAGGUGCGAAAGCGUGGGGAGCAAAC
rnacentral:rRNA from 1 species